GACGAACGCUGGCGGCGUGCUUAACACAUGCAAGUCGAACGAUGAACCCGGAGCUUGCUCCGGUGGAUUAGUGGCGAACGGGUGAGUAACACGUGAGUAACCUGCCCUUGACUCUGGUAUAACUGCGGGAAACUGUAGCUAAUACCGGAUACGACCCUCGGCGGCAUCGCCAGGGGGUGGAAAGAAUUUCGGUCAAGGAUGGACUCGCGGCCUAUCAGCUAGUUGGUGGGGUGAUGGCCUACCAAGGCGACGACGGGUAGCCGGCCUGAGAGGGUGACCGGCCACACUGGGACUGAGAUACGGCCCAGACUCCUACGGGAGGCAGCAGUGGGGAAUAUUGCACAAUGGGCGCAAGCCUGAUGCAGCGACGCCGCGUGAGGGAUGACGGCCUUCGGGUUGUAAACCUCUUUCAGCACCGACGAAGCGCAAGUGACGGUAGGUGCAGAAGAAGGACCGGCCAACUACGUGCCAGCCGCCGCCGUAA
rnacentral:rRNA from 1 species